GUAUUUGAUAAGUUCUUCAAACCUAUAGGAUUUGGCGGUAUUUUAAUCUUUUCAGAGGAACCUGUCCCUUAAUCGAUAGCCCACGAUUUUACUUACUUAUUUUUGUUUAGUUUGUAUACCUCCGUCAUAAGAAUAUCUUUUUAGAGAUUUAAAUUUUCUUUUCUAUUUAAAUUAAACAUGUCAGGUCAAGGUGCAGCUUAUAAAUAAGUGGAGAUGGGUUACAAUAAAUUUAUUUAUACGGAUAUUGAACUUAGUGAUUUAAAGUUCUAUUGAAGGUGGAUUUGAUAGUAAAGUUAUUUUUUUGGUUUCUUGAUUUUAGCUCUAAAAUAUGCACACAUCGCCCG
rnacentral:rRNA from 1 species